GGAUCCCGGGCGGGCGUGCUUACCAUGCAAGUCGAACGAUGAAGCCCAGCUUGCUGGGUGGAUUAGUGGCGAACGGGUGAGUAACACGUGAGUAACCUGCCCCCGACUCUGGGAUAAGCCCGGGAAACUGGGUCUAAUACCGGAUAUGACCUCGCACCGCAUGGUGCGGGGUGGAAAGAUUUAUCGGUGGGGGAUGGACUCGCGGCCUAUCAGCUUGUUGGUGAGGUAAUGGCUCACCAAGGCGACGACGGGUAGCCGGCCUGAGAGGGUGACCGGCCACACUGGGACUGAGACACGGCCCAGACUCCUACGGGAGGCAGCAGUGGGGAAUAUUGCACAAUGGGCGAAAGCCUGAUGCAGCGACGCCGCGUGAGGGAUGACGGCCUUCGGGUUGUAAACCUCUUUCAGUAGGGAAGAAGCGAAAGUGACGGUACCUGCAGAAGAAGCGCCGGCUAACUACGUGCCAGCAGCCGCGGUAAUACGUAGGGCGCAAGCGUUAUCCGGAUUUAUUGGGCGUAAAGAGCUCGUAGGCGGUUUGUCGCGUCUGCCGUGAAAGUCCGAGGCUCAACCUCGGAUCUGCGGUGGGUACGGGCAGACUAGAGUGAUGUAGGGGAGACUGGAAUUCCUGGUGUAGCGGUGAAAUGCGCAGAUAUCAGGAGGAACACCGAUGGCGAAGGCAGGUCUCUGGGCAUUUACUGACGCUGAGGAGCGAAAGCAUGGGGAGCGAACAGGAUUAGAUACCCUGGUAGUCCAUGCCGUAAACGUUGGGCACUAGGUGUGGGGGACAUUCCACGUUUUCCGCGCCGUAGCUAACGCAUUAAGUGCCCCGCCUGGGGAGUACGGCCGCAAGGCUAAAACUCAAAGGAAUUGACGGGGGCCCGCACAAGCGGCGGAGCAUGCGGAUUAAUUCGAUGCAACGCGAAGAACCUUACCAAGGCUUGACAUGUGCCAGACCGCCUCAGAGAUGGGGUUUCCCUUCGGGGCUGGUUCACAGGUGGUGCAUGGUUGUCGUCAGCUCGUGUCGUGAGAUGUUGGGUUAAGUCCCGCAACGAGCGCAACCCUCGUUCCAUGUUGCCAGCACGUAGUGGUGGGGACUCAUGGGAGACUGCCGGGGUCAACUCGGAGGAAGGUGGGGAUGACGUCAAAUCAUCAUGCCCCUUAUGUCUUGGGCUUCACGCAUGCUACAAUGGCCGGUACAAUGGGUUGCGAUACUGUGAGGUGGAGCUAAUCCCUAAAAGCCGGUCUCAGUUCGGAUUGGGGUCUGCAACUCGACCCCAUGAAGUCGGAGUCGCUAGUAAUCGCAGAUCAGCAACGCUGCGGUGAAUACGUUCCCGGGCCUUGUACACACCGCCCGUCAAGUCACGAAAGUUGGUAACACCCGAAGCCGAUGGCCUAACCACCUUGUGUGGGGGGAGUCGUCGAAGGUGAACGUUCAAUU
rnacentral:rRNA from 1 species